AUUGAACGCUGGCGGCAGGCCUAACACAUGCAAGUCGAGCGGAGCGGCGGACGGGUGAGUAAUGCCUAGGAAUCUGCCUGGUAGUGGGGGAUAACGUCCGGAAACGGGCGCUAAUAUCGCAUACUAUCAGAUGAGCCUAGGUCGGAUUAGCUAGUUGGGGGGGUAAAGGCCUACCAAGGUGACGAACCGUAACUGGUCUGAGAGGCUGAUCAGUCACACGGGAACUGAGACACGGUCCAGACUCCUACGGGAGGCAGCGGUGGGGAAUAUUGGGCAAUGGGCGAAAGCCUGAUCCAGCCAGGCCGCGUGUGUGAAGAAGGUCUUCGGAUUUUAAAGCUCUUUAAGUUGGGAGGCGUUACCUACAGAAUAAGCACCGGCUAACUACGUGCCAGCAGCCGCGGUAAUUC
rnacentral:rRNA from 1 species